GACGAACGCUGGCGGCGUGCUUAACACAUGCAAGUCGAGCGGUAAGGCCCUUUCGGGGUACGACGAGCGGCGAACGGGUGGAGUAACACGUGGGUGGACCUGCCCUCCAGCUCUGGGAUAAGCCUGGGAAACCGGGUCGUAAUACUGGAUAUGACUCCAUGACGCAUGUUGUGGGGUGGAAAGCCUUGUGCGGCUGAGGAUGGGCCCGCGGCCUAUCAGCUUGUUGGUGGGGUGGAUGGCCUACCAAGGCGACGACGGGUAGCCGGCCUGAGAGGGCGACCGGCCACACUGGGACUGAGACACGGCCCAGACUCCUACGGGAGGGCAGCAGUGGGGAAUCUUGCGCAAUGGGCGAAAGCCUGACGCAGCGACGCC
rnacentral:rRNA from 1 species